AAGUCGAACGAGAAUCUAUGGAUCGAGGAUUCGUCCAAGUGAAGUAGAGGACAGUGGCGGACGGGUGAGUAACGCGUGAGGAACCUGCCUUUCAGAGGGGGACAACAGUUGGAAACGACUGCUAAUACCGCAUGACACAUAGAGAUCGCAUGGUUUUUAUGUCAAAGAUUUAUCGCUGAGAGAUGGCCUCGCGUCUGAUUAGCUAGUUGGUGAGGUAACGGCCCACCAAGGCGACGAUCAGUAGCCGGACUGAGAGGUUGACCGGCCACAUUGGGACUGAGAUACGGCCCAGACUCCUACGGGAGGCAGCAGUGGGGAAUAUUGGGCAAUGGGCGCAAGCCUGACCCAGCAACGCCGCGUGAAGGAAGAAGGCUUUCGGGUUGUAAACUUCUUUUGUCGGGGACGAGUAGAAGACGGUACCUGGCGAAUAAGCCACGGCUAACUACGUGCCAGCAGCCGCGGUAAUACGUAGGUGGCAAGCGUUGUCCGGAUUUACUGGGUGUAAAGGGCGUGUAGCCGGGAAGGCAAGUCAGAUGUGAAAUCCACGGGCUUAACUCGUGAACUGCAUUUGAA
rnacentral:rRNA from 1 species